GUUUGUACACAUUGUGUAUACUAACAUGUACGAACGUAACUCUACGUCCGGACUCUGCAAGGCUGUAGCAGUUGUCGCCAGCUUUUUUGUCCAAUUCUCCCCACUAAGACUAGCUUUACAAUUGCCGACAAUAAUACUAGCCUUACUGUUGGCUUGUGCUGCACUACCUCGUUGCAUCUGUAUGCCACUAUCAACAGCUGCUGCUCCAUUGAUCUAACUCCUACGUUGGAUCCUAUUAUUGCCACAACAUUCAAUAAAGAAAAUUAAUCA